CAGUAGCCGCGGUAAGACAGAGGAUGCAAGCGUUAUCCGGAAUGAUUGGGCGUAAAGCGUCUGUAGGUGGCUUUUCAAGUCCGCCGUCAAAUCCCAGGGCUCAACCCUGGACAGGCGGUGGAAACUACCAAGCUGGAGUACGGUAGGGGCAGAGGGAAUUUCCGGAGUAGCGGUGAAAUGCGCAGAUACCGGGAGGAACGCCGAUGGCGAAGGCAGCCACCUGGUCCACUUCUGACGCUGAGGCGCGAAAGCGUGGGGAGCAAACCGGAUUAGAUACCCCCGUAGUCCCUGUCUCUUAUAC
rnacentral:rRNA from 1 species